rnacentral:rRNA from 1 species
GGCGAACGCUGGCGGCGUGCCUAAUACAUGCAAGUUGAGCGCUGAAGGUUGGUACUUGUCCCGACUGGAUGAGCAGCGAACGGGUGAGUAACGCGUGGGGAAUCUGCCUUUGAGCGGGGGACAACAUUUGGAAACGAAUGCUAAUACCGCAUAAAAACUUUAAACACAAGUUUUAAGUUUGAAAGAUGCAAUUGCAUCACUCAAAGAUGAUCCCGCGUUGUAUUAGCUAGUUGGUGAGGUAAAGGCUCACCAAGGCGAUGAUACAUAGCCGACCUGAGAGGGUGAUCGGCCACAUUGGGACUGAGACACGGCCCAAACUCCUACGGGAGGCAGCAGUAGGGAAUCUUCGGCAAUGGACGAAAGUCUGACCGAGCAACGCCGCGUGAGGGAAGAAGGGUUUCGGAUCGUAAAACUCUGUUGGUAGAGAAGAACGUUGGUGAGAGUGGAAAGCUCAUCAAGUGACGGUAACUACCCAGAAAGGGACGGCUAACUACGUG